GGCUCUGGGCAAACACGACGUGCUGAGAAAGCCUUGUGUUCAUUACAAAUCUCAUUCACGUCAUUUCUCUCUUCAAACAGGCUCUGGUCGCCCCACGGCUGAGUGGAGUUUGUUCAGACUGCUUGACUUUAAUGUGGUCCACCGCUGAAGAACAUUAAGCAGCACCUCUGGCUAAUUUGCUUAAUUUCUGUAAAUGAGGCCUUUGGCCUCUGGAGUGACUUUUAGCUGGAAUGGAUCAUAUUAUUAUCUGCGGUGGCCCGCGGCGUCUUACGGGGUAUUAAACCCCAUCCUCAGAUCACGGCCGCUGGAGCGAAAGAGACUUCUCCAGGACGGAUGCCGUAAUGAUGCUCAUUUUGCUGAAGCAGAGGACGAGAAUCAAGGUGGCUGAAAUCGUAGCCAACUUCUGUGUCCUCAGGCAUCCCCUGCAACAGAAGAACACUGGACAGGUAUGAGAUCACUUCAGGCUGCCAUGUCUUCAGGUCUCUGAUAUGUUUGAAUGCUGAUCCUGGAGUUUUGAUGGCGUCUCGCUGUGUUUCUGAAUUUUGGGAGCAGACAGCCGGUCACCGCUGGGAUCGUCUGACUUGUCCUCCUCCACCGUAUGUCAGCAUCUUCAGUUAGUUUGAUCCGUCACCAUCAUCCGAGUUUGUGCUCACUCACAGACAGCAUCAGGUUAUUUGUGCAGGACUGAUGGGAAUGCUGAACUGUAGGUCAUCAGGUAACAUGUCAUAUUGUUAAUUAUCCCG